rnacentral:rRNA from 1 species
AUGAACUGCUCAUUGUUGUGUUUUGGUUCCGAACAUGAUAUCCAGUGCCUCAAGUCCGUACAUCAAUCAGUGAUUGAUCCCAACGGUGUACUCAAAUCCUCUUGGAACUUUGAAAAUGCCACCAGCGGUUUCAUAUGCCGCUUUACUGGUGUGGAAUGCUGGCAGCCCGACGAGAACAGGGUUCUCUCUCUGCGCCUCGGCAACCUUGGACUUGAAGGCUCAUUUCCUAAAGGUCUUCAAUAUUGUUCAAGCAUGACGGGCCUGGACCUGUGGAAUAACAAUUUUUCAGGACCGAUCCCUUCUGACAUUUUACAGCAGGUGCAGAAGCUGACAUAUCUGGAUCUUUCGUACAAUAGCUUUUCGGGAUCAAUCCCAGAGAGCAUGUCAAAUAUGACAUAUCUGAAUGUCCUCAACCUUGAGCAUAACCAACUCAGCGGUCAAAUUCCACCGCAAUUCGAUUUGCUUACUCGGUUAACUACGUUCAAUGUUGCGGAGAACUUGUUAUCAGGGCCUGUUCCUACUUCGCUACAGAAGUUUUCGGCUUCGAACUUUGCUGGUAACCAAGGGCUUUGUGAUGCACCUUUAGAUGAGUGCUCCGCUUCGCCGGCCUUCACCGUUAGACCGGUACGAAUCAGGCUGCACAGGCUCAACGACUGGUCGAACAUCGGAGCAGCCGUUGGAUUCAUCGUGUGGUUCGUGGUGGCCUUCUACUUCCCGCAGUGA